rnacentral:rRNA from 1 species
GACGAACGCUGGCGGCGUGCUUAACACAUGCAAGUCGAACGGAAAGGCCCUGCUUUUGUGCGUUGCUCGAUUGGCUAACUGGUGAGUAGCACGUGAGUAACCUGCCCUUCACUUUCGGAUAACUUCAGAAAACUGGUGCUAAUACCGAAUAGGAGCUCCUUCUGCAUUGUGGGCGUUGGAAAGUUUCGGCGGUUGGGGAUGGACUCGCGGCUUAUCAACUUGUUGGUGGGGUAGUGGCUUACCAAGGCUUUGACGGGUAGCCGGACUGAGAGGGUGACCGGACACAUUGGGACUGAGCUACGGCCCAGACUACUACGGGAGGCAGCAGUGCGGAAUAUUGCACAAUGGGAGGAAGCCUGAUGCAGCAACGCCGCGUGCGGGAUGACGGCCUUCGGGUUGUAAACCGAUUUCGCCUGUGACGAAGCGUGAGUGACGGUAAUGGGUAAAGAAGCACCGGCUAACUACGUG